CCUGACUGCUAUCGGAUUGAUACUAAGCCAUGCGAGUCAUUGUAGUAAUACAAGGCAGACGGCUCAGUAACGCGUAGUCAACCUACCCUAUGGACGGGGAUAACCUCGGGAAACUGAGAAUAAUACCCGAUAGAACAUUAUGCCUGGAAUGGUUUAUGUUUCAAAUAAUUUAUUGCCGUAGGAUGGGACUGCGGCCUAUCAGUUUGUUGGUGAGGUAAUGGCCCACCAAGACUAUUACAGGUACGGGCUCUGGGAGGAGUAGCCCGGAGAUGGGUACUGAGACACGGACCCAGGCCCUAUGGGGCGCAGCAGGCGAGAAAACUUUGCAAUGUGCGAAAGCACGACAAGGUUAAUCCGAGUGGUUUCUGCUAAAGGAACCUUUUGUCAGUCCUAGAAACACUGGCGAAUAAGGGGUGGGCAAGUUCUGGUGUCAGCCGCCGCGGUAAAACCAGCACCUCAAGUGGUCAGGAUGAUUAUUGGGCCUAAAGCAUCCGUAGCCUGCUUUGUCAGUUUUCGGUUAAAUCCGUACGCUCAACGUAUGGGCUGCCGGGAAUACUGCAAAGCUAGGGAGUGGGAGAGGUAGACGGUACUCGGUAGGAAGGGGUAAAAUCCUUUGAUCUAUUGAUGACCACCUGUGGCGAAGGCGGUCUACCAGAACACGUCCGACGGUGAGGGAUGAAAGCUGGGGGAGCAAACCGGAUUAGAUACCCGGGUAGUCCCAGCUGUAAACUAUGCAAACUCAGUGAUGCAUUGGCUUGAUGCCAAUGCAGUGCUGCAGGGAAGCCGUUAAGUUUGCCGCCUGGGAAGUACGUACGCAAGUAUGAAACUUAAAGGAAUUGGCGGGGGAGCACCACAAGGGGUGAAGCCUGCGGUUC
rnacentral:rRNA from 1 species